UACGUAGGGGGCUAGCGUUGUCCGGAUUUAUUGGGCGUAAAGAGCGUGUAGGCGGCCAGGUAGGUCUGGUGUGAAAACUCGAGGCUUAACCUCGAGAUGUCAUCGGAAACCAUUUGGCUAGAGUCCGGAAGAGGAGAGUGGAAUUCCUGGUGUAGCGGUGAAAUGCCCAGAUAUCAGGAAGAACACCAAUGGCGAAAGCAGCUCUCUGGGACGGUACUGACGCUGAGACGCGAAAGCGUGGGGAGCGAACAGG
rnacentral:rRNA from 1 species